UGGGGAAUAUUGGACAAUGGGCGCAAGCCUGAUCCAGCCAUGCCGCGUGAGUGAUGAAGGCCCUAGGGUUGUAAAGCUCUUUCACCGGUGAAGAUAAUGACGGUGACCGGAGAAGAAGCCCCGGCUAACUUCGUGCCAGCAGCCGCGGUAAUACGAAGGGGGCUAGCGUUGUUCGGAUUUACUGGGCGUAAAGCGCACGUAGGCGGACUAUUAAGUCAGGGGUGAAAUCCCGGGGCUCAACCCCGGAACUGCCUUUGAUACUGGUAGUCUUGAGUUCGAGAGAGGUGAGUGGAAUUCCGAGUGUAGAGGUGAAAUUCGUAGAUAUUCGGAGGAACACCAGUGGCGAAGGCGGCUCACUGGCUCGAUACUGACGCUGAGGUGCGAAAGCGUGGGGAGCAAACAGG
rnacentral:rRNA from 1 species